rnacentral:rRNA from 1 species
UACAUGGGGUGCAAGCGUUGCUCGGAAUUAUUGGGCGUAAAGCGCACGUAGGCGGUUCGUUAAGUCGGAUGUGAAAGCCCUCGGCUCAACUGAGGAAGUGCACCCGAAACUGGCGAGCUUGAGUACGAAAGAGGAUCGCGGAAUUCCCGGUGUAGAGGUGAAAUUCGUAGAUAUCGCUUGGAACGCCAAUGGUGAAAACAGCUUGCUGGGGGUGUGCUGACGCUGAGACACGAAAGCCAGGGGAGCAAACGGG